CCUACGGGAGGCAGCAGUGAGGAAUUUUCCGCAAUGGGCGAAAGCCUGACGGAGCAAUACCGCGUGAGGGAUGAAGGAUUUUGGUCUGUAAACCUCUUUUCUCAAGAAAGAAGUUCUGACGGUACUUGAGGAAUAAGCAUCGGCUAACUCCGUGCCAGCAGCCGCGGUAAUACGGGGGAUGCAAGCGUUAUCCGGAAUGAUUGGGCGUAAAGCGCCUGUAGGUUGUUUAUUAAGUCCGUUGUUAAAGCCUAGGGCUUAACCCUAGAAAAGCAAUGGAAACUAGUAGACUAGAGUAUGGCAGGGGUAGAGGGAAUUUCUAGUGUAGCGGUGAAAUGCGUAGAUAUUAGAAAGAACACCGGUGGCGAAAGCGCUCUACUGGACCAUUACUGACACUCAGAGGCGAAAGCUAGGGUAGCAAAAGGGAUUAGAUACCCCUGUAGUCCUAGCCGUAAACGAUGGAUACUAGAUGUUGUGCAUUAUGUACAGUAUCGUAGCUAACGCGUUAAGUAUCCGCGUGGGAGUACGCUCGCAAGGGUGAAACUCAAAGAUAGACGCGNGAGAGNGCGACGACGACGACGAGGAGGAG
rnacentral:rRNA from 1 species